GACGAACCGUGCGAACGUUGUCCGGAAUUAUUGGGCGUAAAGAGCUUGUAGGCGGUUUGUCGCGUCUGCCGUGAAAUUUCGAGGCUCAACCUCGAACUUGCGGUGGGUACGGGCAGACUAGAGUGUGGUAGGGGAGACUGGAAUUCCUGGUGUAGCGGUGAAAUGCGCAGAUAUCAGGAGGAACACCGAUGGCGAAGGCAGGUCUCUGGGCCACUACUGACGCUGAGAAGCGAAAGCAUGGGGAGCGAACAGG
rnacentral:rRNA from 1 species